CCUACGGGAGGCAGCAGUGGGGGAUAUUGCACAAUGGGGGAAACCCUGAUGCAGCGACGCCGCGUGGGUGAAGAAGCGCCUCGGCGCGUAAAGCCCUGUCAGCAGGGAAGAAAAUGACGGUACCUGAAGAAGAAGCCCCGGCUAACUACGUACCAGCAACCGAGGGAAUACGUAGGGGGCAAGCGUGAUCCGGAUUUAAUGGGGGUAAAGGGGGCGCAGACGGGGAUGCAAGCCAGGAGUGAAAGCCGGGGGCCCAACCCCGGGACUGCUUUUGGAACUGCGUGGCUAGAGUGCAGGAGGGGCAGGCGGAAUUCCUGGUGUAGCGGUGAAAUGCGUAGAUAUCAGGAGGAACACCGGUGGCGAAGGCGGCCUGCUGGACUGCAACUGACGUUGAGGCCCGAAAGCGUGGGGAGCAAACAGGAUUAGAUACCCUGGUAGUC
rnacentral:rRNA from 1 species